rnacentral:rRNA from 1 species
UACGGAGGGUGCAAGCGUUAUCCGGAUUCACUGGGUUUAAAGGGUGCGUAGGUGGGCAAGUAAGUCAGUGGUGAAAUCUCCGGGCUUAACUCGGAACGGUCAAGUGAUACUGUCGGACUAGAGUACAGAAGGGGCAACUGGAAUUCUCGGUGUAGCGGUGAAAUGCGUAGAUAUCGAGAGGAACACCUGCGGCGAAGGCGGGUUGCUGGGCUGAUACUGACGCUGAGGCGCGAAAGCCAGGGGAGCGAACGGG